rnacentral:tRNA from 1 species
GGUCCGGUAGUUCAGUUGGUUAGAAUGCCUGGUUAGAAUGCCUGCCUGUCACGCAGGAGGUCGCGGGUUCGAGUCCCGUCCGGACCGCCA